AUCAAGCACGAUGGUACGUUGAGUUUAGAUAAGAACAAAUAUGGACCGUACCUAAAAGAAGUGGUACCCUACGAUCCAGCCCUCCAUAAUUUAUACUCGUACAUAACUUUUUAUGGCAACUUACCAAGAAAAGGGCAAAAAAGAAAUUUUUAUUUAUUUAUUUUUUUUUUUGUAAAUUUCAUGUUUUUGAAAUUAUGAAUUAGGAAAUAUUCAUUACUCAAAAUCAGAAAUUUUUUAUGAUUUUUUUUUUUUCUUUCAUUUCCUUAGUUCUUAUUUUUGUUAAGAAGAAAAAAUAAAAAUAAAAAUAAAAAAGCACUUAUUUUUGACUGUCAUCGUUAUCUUCUCGUUCUGGUGAUUUAACUGUUGGCCUCCUCGUGUUUCACAACUGCCUUGGUCUUUCAAGAAGGUCCUAUCCUAUCUCUCUAUUUUCACAGUUCGCACCCUCUCUCCAUGGUUUGGAUGCUGAAUCGCUAUGCAUUCUUAAACUUUUAAGAUAUUUCCGAAGUUUUGACGGUCCAUUGCUUGACAACGAGAGAGAGCACGCUUGUCAGUAUUCAUACGCAUAACAUGAUUGCGUACAUGCGUGCUUUCUAUCGUUGUCAUGCGAUCUGCUUCUCAAGGCAGGUUGAUUUUCUCUUUCUGCACUUUUUCUUGGUACAUGCGUUAGACAGGUGAUUGUGAACUUAACCUAAAGUUUAAAAUUUAAUGUUAGCUUAAUUAGUUGUUAUCAGUAUUUUGAAAUUUGUGGUUCCUUUUUUCAGUAAAGACGGACUUCUUAUCACUUGGGUUGUGCUUUUGCAGUUAGUGGAUUCCCAAAAUAAAAGUUACUAAUGGUAACUGACUCGCUUGAUCUGCAAGGUUAAGAGUAUUUUUCUAAUAGAAUUCCGACACUUAAAAGUUAAUCGGAAUGAAAUACAGUCACUCUAUUAUUUUAAUAGAAGAACCCAUACAAUUUCCAGGCUAGUCAAAGUUCAGCCAAGGUGCCUCAACCUACUAUAUAUGGGUCAGGUUCCUUCAAUUAGGUUCACAUAAAGUUGUCAGGCUAUUACCUUUUACUCUUUAAGCAGGAUCUUCCAGGCUCAAAAAAAUCACACUUCUUAAUUAAUUUUAGUUGUAGUCAUCCAUUCAAAUAGUUUUCAUUUUUCAAAAUAACCAUUAAUUUGCAUUUCCAAACUUGGAUCAUAUUGUUUAAUCCUUCUCAUAUAUUAGAAAGAAUUUAUGAGCUACCGUUUGACUAAGAUAAUUGUGUCUUAUGAUAAUUUGAUGUGUUCAAAAUCUACAAGAUUGUUUUCUUUUUGUGGCAUAUUUUUAAUGGUAGUUUUCUGUAACUGUAUAUACAUAUAAAAAAGAUUUAUGCACAUUGAUUUACCUUUUAGUUGAUGUCCAAACUUUUUGAUUUUAUAAAAACUUUUGAUUAGUUGUGUUUCAUAACCUGAUUUGAUCCAACUCUACAUUGAUUUAAUUGAAAGCAUGUGUAAACUGAAAAUGUAUAUCUAUUGAUAUAGCAAUCCAUUAAAUUGAUACGGUGAGAACUUCCUUUAUUUGAUAUUAACUAGUUGGUGUUGCAUACUUUAAAUUGUUUUUCUGUACUUAUAUCAUUUUAGGCUAGUGCCUUUCAUUGCUCCUUGCACUUAGGUUUCAAGGGACAUUAGCACCUUGGUGUGCCUUCAGCCUUUAAUAACUAUGGCUACGAUACAGAGAUAUUUGGUCUAAUAACUGUGGAAGUGUGUUCUAUCCAAGGUGAUCCAAAAAGAAAUUUAGGUGCUUUAUCAAAUGUUUGAAAGUAAGCAUGAGCUGCAGUAACACGAAAUAAUGGUUUUUAUGUAUUGUAAUUGUUUCCAUGACGUAACUAGUAAGCCUUUUGCCUUAUUAUUGACGUAACUAGUAAGCCUUUUGCCUUAUUAUUACAAGUUGAUAUGAUUAUAUUUUACUGAAAUUUAUUGCUAUAAUUGAUUUCACAAAUUAUUACAGAAGGCUUGUCAACAUCCUUCGUAGAUUACUAACUUAAAGGAGUAUGGAGCCCCAUUCUUUUGCGUCUGUUGCCUAUAUUUAGGUUUUUAAGGCUUGGGGACUGAGUUAAAAGCUAGACCACUAUCAACAUUAAAAAAAAUAAAAUUCCAAAUUCAAAAACAUUGGAGGUCCAGUUACCUGAGUCUCUUUAUGAUGAAGUAGCAUCUGACCACCUUCCCACUUCCAUUAGUCACAAUCCCAAAAAAACACUAGAAGUGAAAUGGAAAAAGAGGAGUUUUGAGUUAAGCAACCUCUUUUAAUAAAAAAUUUCUUGGUUUUGUUGUUCCUUUUAGAAACAAACUAGAACUACAAUGCUGGAAAAAUGGAAGUAGACUUGGUGGUCAUUUGAAGGUUGUUUUCUCUUGGUCUAAUGAUCAAAGGAGGACAAAGAAAUCACUAAAGUUUGUGGCUUCUUAAGGAGCUUUCGUUGUUUUCAGGUAUAAUAUCUAAAUACAGUGAUAUUGUUAAUUCAAGAUCAGGAUAAACAAGUGAAAAGCCUGAAAAAGAUCCUAUUUCUUAAAAAAAAAAAAAAAAAAAAAAAAAACUACUUCAAAUUAGCAUGACAUUCAUUAAUAUUUAAAUCAUGCCUAUAUGUCAUAUACUGUCAAUAACAAUACAGUGAUAUUGUUAAUUCAAGAUCAGGAUAAACAAGUGAAAAAUCAUGCCUAUAUGUCAAAUACUGUCAAUAAAAUUCAUGACACAUAUAAGGAUUUUUUGUUGUCAAAAAAUGCAUGUCUGUAAGUUAAAAAAUAAUAAUUUGUUCAUAAAUAAUUCACAGCUAAGGUGUUUGUGUUUCUUCUUUUUAUGUUCAUGGUUGGGCAUUUACAAAUGGAUUGGCAAGCAGCAUCAGGAAUAAUUUGUUUAGCUGUUUGAGUUGAAUUGCAUACAAGUGAUCAUGCUAGUUUCAUAUUAUUGAAUUGUUAACUCUCAAGUUAAAUUGAACUAUCAUAGACAAAAGCAUUAAAAUUUGCUUCCUUCAGAAGGUUGUCAAUGGUAAGAAUACAAUUUAAUUACUCCUCAGCAUGGCAUGUUCUUUAAGGGAAUUUGUUUGUUUCGUUUGUUUUUGUUUUGUUUUUUUGUUUUGUUUUGUUUUUUUUUUUUUUUUUUCUGUUUUUGGUUUCCCCUUCUUUUUCAGUUCUUUUGCACUAAAUUGGCCCUUGGAUUCAUUUCAUUUGUUUAUUUUCCCAUUGUAUCACUUGUGCUUCUCUUUUUAAUUUGCGUGAGAUAAUCCUGAACAAAGUUUAUAGCCACAGUCUAUCAACAGUCGAGCUACUUCAAGUUCAAGUUCUAUAAUAUCUCCAGCCGAUCCUCUCGAGUUAAAUUCAUUUGUUAUAGACAAAGCAUUUAAAAAUUGUAUUUCCUUCAGACGGUUGUCAUUGGUAAGAAUACAAUUUAAUUAUUCCUGAGCAAAGCAUGUUCUUUAAGGGAUUUUUUUCUUUCUUUCUUCUUCAGUGGUUUUGCACAAAAUUGGCCCUUGGAUUCAUUUCAUUUGUUUAAUUUUCUAUUAUUUCACUUGUGCUUAUAUUUUAAAUUUGUUUCAUAUGUCUAAAUAUGAGAUAAUCCUGAACAAAUAUUAUAGCCACUGACUAUCAACAGUCAGGCUACUUCAAGUUCUAUGAUACCUCGGGCAGCUCCUCUAUGAGGAAUUCUGUUUAAGUGAGCUAGGUUAGUAAGGAUUUUACUGCUAAGAAUUUUACAUGAUACAGACACAACAUACACGAAUUUAUUUUUAUUUAUUUUUUAAUUUUUAAAUAAGACACUGAUAACGCAGGGAUACAUCAAAAUAAUAAAAAAUAAUAUAUUAUUUUAUAAGUUCAAAUUCCAAGAUACAUCUAAUUGUGUCGAAUACAACUCCGGCUGUGUCACAUGUGUUCGUGUUGAACAUGUGUCGGACAUGGCCUCAGAAUUCCUAGAGGAGUGUCCAUACUUUCUGGAUACUGCCUGUUUGAAGGUAAGGUAGAAGGGGAUGAGAGCAAAAAAUUAAUGGAAUAUUAGAUAUUAUACACUUGUCUUUCUAUGUCUUGGAAAAAAAAAAGGAAUGCAUUAUUAUGCUGUACUUUGUUCAUAUUUUUGUCAUUUGAUAUCACACAUUUAUAGAUUCUACACUUGUUUAUAACUAUCAGAAUAAAAUCUAUUACUUACAUAUCCAGCAAAGAGCUAUUUUAUAUGGUUCCUUUUCAUCAAUCCAUUGUUAAUUACUGUAAAUAUAGGGUAAGUUACGCAAAUCUCUCCUUUGCUUUGACUAAUUUGCGUGAAUGUAGAUCAUGGGUCACAAUUACACUGAACUCUCCUAUUAGAGUCUGUUUUGCAGCUGGUGUAAAUUGAAAAUUUUGCCCACAAGUUAUUUUGACAUUUUGGAUAAUAAAUCAGAAAAAGACAAUAUAGAAGGAAAAUGACUAGUGCACCUUCAAGCCAUUCUAUCUCUACUCUCUCUGCUCCAUAUUUCUCUCUACUCUCUAUUAGACCUCCUUAACUGCCCUUCACCACCACCACUGUAACUUAUAUUUCCAUUGCUCUGUCGUCUCCUUCCCAGUUCUCUUUUUUCCUCAUGUCCACCUCCACAUAAUCACGGCACUUUCUGCUCCACCACCGGUCCACCACCACUUUCUUUGCAGCCACCACUUUUCAUGGUCAGCAUUUUGCUUGUCGCUUCAUGUUUCUCUAGCUCUUUACUCUAUUCCUUCCUCAAGAACUCUACAAAAAAUAGCUCAUUUUCACUGUCACCACCUCCAUUUAUAAUGGAAUAAACCCACCGGCCGGCCAUUCAUCAUCACAAGUGCAGAGUAUGACCAUUUUAUAAGUUAUACUCAGUUUCAGAUGAUGAGAUAAAGAAAACAUUGUUAGAAUUAUGAAAUUGUCAGCACUCGCACGUAAUAACAAGUUUUUUCAGAUUUAUAAGUCUUCCAAUUUGCCAAAUUUCAAUUCCCUGAUAUAAUGGUAAAAUUCUUGAGCGGCCAAGCCUGAGAACAUGGUUAGAAUGCUAAGAGCAGUCACUUUAUUCAAAUAGUGUCAAUGGUUAGUUUUAUAUCCAAUCUGUCCCUUGCACACUGGUUAAUAAUACUUUUUAUAUUCAUUGAAAUAGAUUGAAAAAUUACAAAUUUUGUCCUCUUAAGAAUCUAAUGUAUUGAUAUGUAUAUUAAGAAUCUAAUGUAUUGAAAUGUAUAUUAAAUGCAAAUUAGGGGUAAUUUAGUCUUUUGAGAUUCUUAGGUGAUGUGCAAAGAUGUUAUCUUCAAAUAAGUAUGGCUUUUCAAGUCUUUCCACUAAAACAAAGGGCCAUUUAGACAUUUUGUGAUAUAUUCUUAAAAACUCUUAAUAAUUAUUCAUAACCAAAGGGAAUCUAGAAAAUUCCAACAAAAUCACAAAUGAGGUUGACUGUGAAAAAUACUCCAAGGUGCAUGUAAUUUUUUCAAACCUCGGGAGAGGUUUGUGUAAUUUAUCCGGUCUUUUAUUUGCAUUAGGAUGAAAAUCGUUGUGAAUGAAAGUAUUUAUGUUUAUAAUUUCUUUUCGAUUCAAAAUCUAAAUAUUCUAAUUUAUCUACUUUGUCAACAUAUAACAUUUGAUCACCUUCUAUGAUAUAUGGAUAUGACUUCCCUUCUUUUGAUGUUAUUUUUUUAAUGUUGUAUCCAGGGUGGUGGAGGGAUUGUCUGGUCCGAAGUAUGUGCCGUCUUCUUUCCCAACUGUGAUUUAUCGUCAAGAGAAAUGCAAUAGUCUCUGACUCGUCCUUGCAUAAAUCUGUAACUCCAUUUUGUUAUUUGUUAGUAAUUGGCGAAAUGCCGGAGGAGUUUAACCAGAAAUUUGUUAGUAGACUUGGCCUUGCAGGUUCUAUAUAUUAUCUGUGAAGAGAGAGGAAUGCCAAAAUCUUCGGACCUUUGCUUCUCUUUCAGCUUUGAUUAGAACACCAUCAGAUGUCAGCCUUCUCUCCCUCCAACAGUACAUCAUCUCGGAUAAUUUAUAGUUUUGGGAACUCUUUGGGAUCUCUCAAACAUUCCCACCCCCAUUGAAAAUUCUAGGAGUCCAUGUUGGAUCUCUGCUUCGAGCUACCACACAUCUGAAACCAUUGAGUACCAACUGCUAGCUUUUUAAAUUUGUUGUGCAUAGCUUUAGCUGUGGUUAUUUUGGUUGUGCAUUCUUGGGCUAGGCUCAAAUGACCCUUCCUUUUUUUCUUGGGUAGUGAAGAAAAAAAAAAAGAAGUUUGACUUUCUGAUUUGAAUGGAGUACUUAAUUUCACCA